rnacentral:rRNA from 1 species
AUGUCAGACUUGGGCUUGCUGAGCUUCUAUCUUGGAAUCGAGGUGCAGCAGAGCUCAAGCGGCAUUUUCAUCGCCCAGAGUGCGUAUGCCCGCAAGCUGCUCGAGAAGAGCGGCAUGGCUGGGUGCAAGCCGUGCCACAUGCCGAUGGAGCCGCGCUUCAAGCUGUCCAGAGAAAGCACGGCGUCGGUGGUCGACGCGAUGCAGUACCGCAACAUCGUUGGCAGCCUGCGGUACUCGGUUCACACACGUCCGGACCAGACUUUCUCCGUCGGCUAUGUCUCUUGGUUCAUGGAGGCGCCAAUGGAAGGACAUCUCACCACCAUCAAACACAUUCUAUGGUAUGUCGCCGGCACAAUUCACCUUGGCUGCAGAUACACCAAGGGAAACAACACGCCAUGGCUCGUUGGAUACAACGGCAGUGAUUUGGGUGGUGACGUGGACACGCGGAAGAGCACCUCCGGAACCCUGUUCUUCCUUGGCGGCGGCGUAGUGCCAUGGCAGCGUUUUUGCACUCGCUGUCGUGGUCUGCAGCUAGCUAGUUGA